GGGUAACCGUGGUAAUUCUAGAGCUAAUACAUGCUGAAAAUCCGGACUCGGGAGGGGAUGUGUUUAUUAGAUUCAAAGCCAACGCCCCCCGGGCUCACUGGUGAUUCAUGAUAACCGCUCGAAUCGCACGGCCUUGCGCCGGCGAUGGUUCAUUCAAAUUUCUUCCCUAUCAACUUUCGAUGUUUGGGUAGUGGCCAAACAUGGUUGCAACGGGUAACGGAGGGUUAGGGCUCGACCCCGGAGAAGGAGCCUGAGAGACGGCUACUACAUCCAAGGAAGGCAGCAGGCGCGCAAAUUACCCAAUCCCGACACGGGGAGGUAGUGACAAUAAAUACCGAUAUAGGGCUCUUUUGGGUCUUAUAAUUGGAAUGAGUACAAUUUAAAUCCCUUAACGAGGAACAAUUGGAGGGCAAGUCUGGUGCCAGCAGCCGCGGUAAUUCCAGCUCCAAUAGCGUAUAUUAAAGUUGUUGUGGUUAAAAAGCCCGUAGUUGAACCUUGGGCCUGGCUGGCCGGUCCGCCUCACCGCGUGCACUGGUCCGGCCGGGCCUUUCCCUCCGCGGAACCCCAUGCCCUUCGCUGGGCGUGGCGGGGAAACGGGACUUUUACUUUGAAAAAAUUAGAGUGCUCCAGGCAGGCCUAUGCUCGAAUACAUUAGCAUGGAAUAAUGAAAUAGGACGCGCGGUUCUAUUUUGUUGGUUUCUAGGACCGCCGUAAUGAUUGAUAGGGACAGUCGGGGGCGUCAGUAUUCAACCGUCAGAGGUGAAAUUCUUGGACCGGUUGAAGACUAACUACUGCGAAAGCAUUCGCCAAGGAUGUUUUCAUUAAUCAGGGACGAAAGCUAGGGGAUCGAAGACGAUCAGAUACCGUCGUAGUCUUAGCCAUAAACUAUGCCGACUAGGGAUCGGGCGAUGUUAUUCUUUGACUCGCUCGGCACCUUACGAGAAAUCAAAGUGCUUGGGCUCCA
rnacentral:rRNA from 1 species